rnacentral:lncRNA from 1 species
AGAGGAAAUAGCUAUAACUAUUAGAAAGCACUAAAAGUUAUUGCAAAGAAAAGGUAUAGAAGAUAAUUAUAAAACAAAAUAUGAUAUUAGCAUCCGAUUUGUUUACUGUGUAAUUGAUGACAACUUUUCGUGACUACCUGAUUUUACAGUUUACAUAGCUGCUUCUCAGUAUUGCUUAAAUUGUUGCACAUUUAUUGGGACACAGGGUUCUUUUGUGAUUAAGUGUAUGUCCUGUGCCUAAAUGACAAGAAGUACCUAUCACGAAAAGCUGCCCUUCCUCAGAAGAAGCUCAUGAGAAAGGAAGAAGUCUUCUCAGAUUUCAGCAUGAGAAAUUACAAAUAUGCGUGCUAAUCAUUAUUCUUCCUUUUUUGCUUCCCAGAAUGGUUUGAAUCCACAUCGAAGGGAAAGGGGGGUAAGGGGUUGCAUCUUUUCAUAUUUCUCAGGAAGGCUUGUCAAAGACAACUUUUGCCAGGUCUGUUUACCAACCUGAAGGCGAUCACAGAAUUUGAGAGUGUUCAAUUUGAUAUUCCACCGCUCCUUUGAAAAGGAACAGGAGAAAGAGAUAAGGCAAUCCUGUCAAAUAUACUUGGUGCUGGCAAGAGAAGAGCUAUCUGGAAGGUAUGCACUCCUGCUAUUUAAAUUGAAAUACAUAAAGUUUCACAGAGAACGAAGCUUUCUUCGUCAGACUUUUGCUGUCUGCCCUUUAAUCUCAGGCAGAUCAAGAGUUGCAGGACAUCAGCCACACGGAUAGGCGCUGCUCCUGAUACACUUAACCACUCAUGGUCAGGUCAUCAGUAUAAACAUCAGGCAGUUGUAUGUGAAAGAAAACUGUAAAGAAACUGCUUGAAAUACUCUCGUGUCACUUCUAACAACAAUAAUAAUAUUAAGGAAUACCUUUUUGAAUAUGCCAUCUGCCAAGCAUUGUGCUUUGGUUGUUUGCGUCUUACCUGGAAAGCAGAGAAGCUCUGUCAUUCUUUGAAAUCUUUGUGUUCUGAACUGAAGGGUAAGGAGCAUUUCUGGUUGUCUGCUAGGUAUCAUGGUUAUGAUGCGCUACUUCCCUGUCAAGUAUAAACAGUUUAAAUUGAUACAGAGAGUGGUGUUUUGGCUUUUGUGCAUUCUUUGUGAUUCACUGCUGCACUUUUUGAUACUUGGAUCCCCGUGAUCUCAGUGUCUUGGUGGGUUUUCGUUCUCUGCUUCUGACCAAUGCUUUGAAUAGAUUGCCCUUAUCAUUGCUGCCACCCUCUGCAAAUUUACAUGUUGGUUCUGAUGUUGAAUGUUUUUCCCUCAUUGUUGGCAAUAGCCUUGUUGUUGCUUGUUGCUAUUUUAUGCUCGUUUUGCUUUUGAGAUUUCCCUUGAUAUUACUCUGGAAGACAGAAUCCAGCAUAGAUGGGAUUUUGUUGAAGAAAGGGUUAAUUAAUCUCCCUGUAGUUCUGCUUUUCUGAUUGUAUC